rnacentral:lncRNA from 1 species
CUCCGCCGAUGACUUCUAAUGAUGGAUGGGGAAUUCUGGCGGCUGACAUUGUGGUGACGUGGCACGGAGGGGAGGAAUUAGAGAGGUAUUUGAGGUGGCGGGAGGAGGAGGAGAAAUGGGUGGCUGAGCCUAAGGUGGCUCUAGGCAUUGGUUGGUGGGAACUGUAUGUGUGUCCCCACUGAUCGUUGCUCUUUUAACUUUGUAGAAUUUUAUGCGAGGUGUGGCAGUUAAAUGGGCUUGUGAAUCUGGUGUUUGGGAUAUUGUAAAUAUUUGUUAUUAUAAAAUAUAGGGAUUUUUACCUAAACAUCUAAUAUCGCAAACCUUAUUACUAAUAUUGUGCCUUGUUUGGUUAUUACCCUCAUAUCCCAUGUUUUUGUUACAUAAUAUAUUCC